CUCCCUGCUCCUACUGGUCACACAAUUCCUAAUGCAGGCCAGGAUGCCAUUGGCCUUCUUGGCCACCAAGGCAAGAGUAGGUGAGUCUGUGAGUUCCCAAUGAAGGGCAGGUAGGUGUCCUUCCCUCCCCUCCAAAGUUGGGGAUAUCAUGGCCUCCUCUCUCUGUCCCUGUGCUGCAGGAGGAAGCAGGAGCAUCCAGGAAGGAGCCAUCAGGGUCUCCUGUCACAGACAGAGCACAGCUUCUGCUCCAUGGAGGGCGGUGAUGGAAGGAGGAACUGAGAGGCACAACUUCUUCAGAUCAUGGAAUUCUACCUGUGGUCUGCAGACCAAAGUUUCACCAGUUUUUUUCCUUCUCACCAUCCCUUUUUCACGUCUCUGGCAUAAAUAUCCUACACAAGUGUGUUCUGCCUCACAUCUACCCAACACAAGCAACACCUCAGCCAGCCCAAGGGUACUCAAGAGGUAACAUGAAAACACCUUCAGCAAGAGAAAAGGAAGUAUUGAAUAGGGGAUGGUGAGCAAGAUAAAAAACUGGAUGAAGCUGAAAAAAACUGUGGAUUUAUUCACAAAAUUUGGGGGGUUUAUCAACCCUAAUUUUUAUAAUAACCCAUGCUUUCCAGUACAUUUUGCCACGUGAACUCUGAUAGGUUUUGAUGCUUUAGUCAGAUAUUGCUGUUCUACUUGAUAUUUCCUCUGGUUAUUCCUGCACAGGUUCACACUCACCAUUGCAUUUCUUUCUCUUUUUUUUUUUUUUUUUUCCCCUUGCAAGAAACUCAUAAUCAGCGUCCCUGAAAAACUCUGCAGUUCAAGAGUGCCAUCUUGAGGCUUCCUACAUAUAAGAACUAUGUGCUGAUUGAACCUCCUGUAUUCAGGGAGUUAUUUACAUUUAAAAUAUCAUUUUAAAAGGCAUGAGAAUAUGCACAGAAGAGCAGUUAAUUUCUGCUGUGUAUUACCUGGAGUUAAGGGAUCCAGCCAACAGAAAUGUCACCCACAGUCAAAAGCAAACAACACUAGUGAGUGCUCUGCUUUGGGAUAUACUAUUUGAAAUGCCUCAGAAAAUACCUGUUGUUCAGACUGUGCUCAUUUCCAGCCUUCUGAAAAAUCAAUGAACUUCCAAAGUGUUUUAAGCCAGGUACUGAAAAUGAAUAAUUAUUAUUUUAAUUUCUUUUCUAUAAGAUGCAUGUUUGUAUAUUUAAGUUAAAGGCAAAUUUAGAGGGAAAAUAAGACUAUGGCUUUCACAAUUAUUUUAAGUCGAUAUGGGGAGAAUACUGCUUUAGAUAUUCCCGUGAUUUAAAAUAAAGGACAAACCUUCAUGCUUUGGAGCACAAGCUACGGGGUUAUUAUGAAAUCUUUCCCGUUCUACAGCAUAGUCCAGACAGCCGUAAUUUAUCCCUGCAGGAGAGCAAAUGGGUAGGUUGCUACAACAAAUCAUGCAUAGGUUGGGAAUUUACCGUUGAAAGUGGGAUGUUGCUUUUCACUCUUCCUGCUGUAGCUGCCAGGUGGCUUUGGGCUUGGGAAAAGGAUGUGUGCCAGCACGUUCACAAUGAAGUGCCCUAAGGAUGAGGCGCCACAGGAAACCAGAGACCCUCAAAAAUAUGCAUUGUUAGCACCACAAAUAACCCCAUGUUUCCUUGAGAUAGUUUUCAUUUGGAAGCCGAGCAGAAAUGUAAACCUUUCUGAAAGGAAUUGCCCGUGAUGUACAUCCCCCAGUUAUCAGGACUAUCAAAGUUGCACAAGUAUGCUCCUUUUGGUAUUUUUACAAGAAUUUUAGAUUGCUUUAGAUGGGAAGUCAUAAAACUGUGAAUUUGACUGAAGUCCAGAUGAAAAGCUAUCUACCUCCAGCUACAGGAAGAAGUCCUGCUUGUUUUCCAGCAGCAGCAGACUGCAGCAGAAGGUAAUUUUAUCCUCAGAAUUUUGUACAGCUACAACACAUCUCACAAAAGAAAUCCAGCAUCGGCUCUGAUCAUCCUUAAACUAUCAGGAUCUGAGUCAUAUCCCGGUCUGGAAGGAGGAGUGGGUUAUGUUCAAAAAUAGGACUGAAGGACACACAUCAGGAGACAAUCAUUUCACUGGAAGGAGAAGAACAGCUUGUCUGACUUGAGUUAAGCCAUCACUGCAGUGAUUUGGAGUGGUAAAUGCAGGAACAUUCCGGGGAUAUAGCUGUGAGGUAAGAAAACCAUUAGCGGUUUCAGAAGAUAUUUCUGCCAGGGACAUGCAGAUCAUUUUUUUCUAUUCCUGCAUGUGUAAGAAGUAUUUCCAGGAGAACUUAAAUAGCAUCACUUGCUUGAGAGUGUUGGAGCUCAUGCAAUGAGAACAGAAUAUGGAAAUUAACAAGUAAUAGAAAAGAAAACUGUUGUUUCAAACACUCUCUCCAUGCAGUGGGAAACACAGUGAGCUCCACUGGUGCUGCCAUCAGCAAAUGCCAACUGCACAUUGUGAAACGCUGGGUAUAGCUCUGUGAUAAGCUUAUGUACAUAUUUCUCUGCUUUAAGCAAAGAAACGUGAGAAAUGGGACCUACAAGAAAGAUUGUCCUUGAAGGAACUCUGAAAAAAUAAAACCAUGUAGAACCUGUAUAUAAUCCUCUUACCUUUAUGCAUUUUUUUUGAUCCAGUUGUAAAGUAAGAUGCCAAGUUCACCUGCCUGCCGGUCUAGAGCUAGAGAAAAAUGGAGAGGGAUGUAAGCGAAGACACCUAACCAACCUUGUGAGCAAAUAAGUGAAAAAAUCAUUUCAAAGAGAGAGUGUGUGUGUCCACAUGCAAAAUUGUACCAUGUGAUUGAUAGUAUAUAUAAAUACACAUAUGCUACAUUACAGCUGACUGAAUGAUUGUUCUGCAGUCAACCCCAAAAUUAUACAAAUGGGAACUUGCAAGUGUGUGUAGGCUGUGAGUUCCUCAUGGUGUGAGGAGGCACCAUGAGUGUUAUGUUCACCUUCACCAGUCAUCAUCCAAGCCAGCCGUGAUACAAAGCCACCAAUGUCAGUUCAACCAGACUGAAAUUUAAAAAACUAAUUGUAAAGCUGUCUAUAUUAAAAAUCAAAUCAA